GGACUUGAAUUUAACUUCUUCAGUCACUUUCUAGGCUCUGGCCAAACUUACAGCUCAAAUAGCAACAAAAAAAUUAUUUCUUUCUUUUGGAGUUUUACAGACUCAUAUCGAGGAUAUUGAUAGUACCCAUCUCCGUGAUUUGAUGAACGACAAAGAAUGAUGCCAAUCGAUGAACGCUCAUUAUUUCCUCUGAUUCGAUAUCUGCACAAAAGCCUUACAGGUUCGAAAAAGAAAUGAUGAAAUAUUUCACUAUUAAUAUGCAUGUUCCUAUAGUGAGUUCGAUGGAAUGCUUUUGGACUAUUCAAGACAAUGUGCUACUCUUGACAUCAUGGAUAAACUCUAUAAAUAGUUGAGGUGAAUUAGGAUUAAUUAUUGUUUCUGGGAUUAUGGAUUUAAAUUGGGAUAGCUUUCGAUUUUUGUUUAAAUCUUUCCACCUUUUUAGGAUGCUUCUCUAAAAACAACAAAUUAAGUGAAUGUUCAGCGGCGAGCAUAUAAAUAGAAGAGAGAAUAGGUCAGUUCUUCAUGUUGCUGUCCCGGCACCGUGGGAUGCUGUUAUGUUCGCGAUGGAAAGCAUGUGGUGCCAGAUGUUUGUUGGAGCUACCGAAAACCACCGAAGGAUAUGCUUGCAAUUGGUAUUGAUGCCAGUUUCUUAGGUCCUUUAUUUGUUCAUUUGGCUCUCCAAACAGACCCUCAGGCUGUUGAAUUUGCUAAAGGACGCCAUCUAUGUUUCUUGUUAAAAAGUUUGGCAUUGAUCAUAACGAUGCUUUUGCAUUCUGGGACUGGGUUAGUGGUCAUUACAGUGGUUUUUAAUGGGGACUUCAAGCAUUGAUCAACAUUUCCGUUCAGCUCCUUUCAAGAAUAAUAUAUUAUAUAUGCCUGAAUUUAGAUUGUGCGCCAAUUGAUGGUGUGCUGCUUCCUUACGAGGCUGGUGACAGGUGAAAGGCAAAUCUGGAACAAAUGGCUAACACAAGUUUUAUCAACUAGUCAACCAGGGACGUGUAAUUCUAUGUGAUUUCAUUGGUAUUUCAAGAGCGGUUAAGCUGGGCCCCUUAAUGGUCAAGUGGUGAGUGGUGAGUGGUGAGUAAUCAUUGAUGCCUCCUUUAUGGGAAGACAGUAGAGAAAUUGAGGAAGGGGAAUGUUCCACAGCAUCUUAUUCCGCAUAAGGUGACUCUUAGCUUUUGUCCCAAGCCCUUUAGUUCAUAACAAGAUUAAUGCCCUAACCAUUAUUUUAUUCCUUAGACAUUCUCUAGAUAUGGACCUUCUCUGUCUUUUGCUUUCAUCUCGUAUGCUUACAAUAUUGGGCAGGUGAGUAGCUUAUUCUCUUAAAUUUGACUUAACGAAGCAUUCACUGAAGAGAGUAACACUGCACGUUUACUUAAAAUGUUAUAAAAUUACCCAUUGGAUUUAAUAAAAUUAUGACAUCAGACGUCCAAUAGGAGUUUCGAGUAAAUACACAAAACUGUUAACCUGUUUUUUCCACUGUUUGACAUUUUGAAGCUCAUUUUUUAAUGUUUUAUGAUUUUCUCAGCCACGCAUGUUCUUAUUGCAAAAUGUGAAAAAUAAGGGGGGAAAGAUGAACUUGAAGCUCAUGAUAAACGGCACAGCAAAUAUAUCAUAGGCAAUAAACCAUAUAAAUCCACAAAAUAGCACAGGUUGAACAGUAUGCAAAUAUCCAUGAUAGAGCUCAGUUACUGCCGAUUGCUGCUUCAGAUGCUACCAUUGACCCAUUCAGGGUUUCUUACAAGACAAAAUAACCGAUAAGCAAAACAAAGCAAAGCUUUGUUUCACCAGUAGGCAGUAGUCCCCCAAACUUAACCUUCUAAAACAACCCCUAAUCCUAAACCUAACGCUAAUCCAUUAUAACAUUAGGGAAAAAAACCCAGAGAUUUAAACGCCAGUGGAUCCAAAUCCCCCAGCACCUCUAGUAGUAGAAUCCAAAUCAUCAACUUCCAAAACAUCAGGUGUCAUGAUCUUCUCAAUGAUCAACUGGGCAAUUCUGUCACCCACUUUCAC